rnacentral:lncRNA from 1 species
CACAAUAAGCGACUUUCACUUGUAGUUAAGGUGUUCUGUCUAUCUUUAUGCUUCGUCUACAUCUAUCAGUCUGUUUAUUUCACUGUCUAUUUCUAUCCGCACGUUGUCUGUCUUAGCAGUCUCACUAUUUCAACUGCUUGCUCGCCCGUCUAUCUAUCUACAAAACUCAUUAUCUGACUGCCUAUAUCCAUUUGUUGUCUCUUCAUAUCUGUGUAUUUGUUUAUAAAGAAGUAUGUGAUUGACGCCGAGUCUGCUGGCGGCUUGGUUCACGGUUGACAACGGUAGCAGCAGCAGCAGUAGCAGCGAAGAGAGAGAGAGAGAGAGAAAUAUGUUAGUCGAGUUAGGUGGGGAGAGAGAGAGAAUCGUGCACUUGUAGUGUGUCUCUCGUAACCGCCCCGAAAAAAAAGUUAGUAAAAAAAAAUGGGAGAAACAAAACUCGGCGUAAAAAAGAAGACUAACAAAAACAAUUAACAACCACAAAAUAGUACCCGAGAAACGACUAAACUUGUUAUCUUAUGGGGCUUUUCCUUAGGAAAAACAGACUGUAAUAUGUAUGAUAUAGCAGUGGAGAGUGUCUGUUCAAACUGGUAGUUGUUGCUUGAUAUGAAAUACAGUGACCAAUUUGCUUUACUUUAGCUAAAGUUAAAAGUUAAGCUAUCUCAUACUAAACGAAAUGACAUACAUUAUUAUAAAGCUCUUUUUAUUUUCAUAAGAAAAAAAUUACUUUACUUUCUGGGCAAAAACCAGUGACUGAUAUUAAACUUACCCUGACCGAACGAGGUUAUUUUCUGUUUUCAAGUGGGGUGUAAAAAAACUUCUAACUUUUGAGAAUCAGAAACUUUUCGUUUUAUACAUCUAUGUAAUAAAUUAAUGGAAAAACUAAACUUUCUGGAUGCUGUCAAACUGUUGAAUAUAUUCUAGCUAUGGAUCAAAUAGCAGGACUAGCCGAUAUGGAAGUAAGUUAUUAUUAUUAUUUAUGUUAUUGCUGUUAUUAUCAUCAUCAUCAUGUGGGGGUGCUGUGAUUGUUGACCCCUGAGUGGCUGUUGUUUUUAUUAGGACCAGUUACAUUAUAAAUAUUACAUUUCAUUAUUUUUUGAUGUUAUUCAGUGACACUUUUCUUUCCUCGAUAUAUAAGUUCACCACAGUUUUGUAUGUAACGUACUCUUACCCGUUGCUCUUGUGACAAUAAAAGAAAUAAUAAUAAUGAUUAUUAUAAUAAUAAUAAUAAUAAUAAUUAUUAUUAUUACUAAAUAGGCGAUGUUGAUUUUGGCUUUGUUUUUCCUGGGUACAUGUGGGGGUGGAGGUCGAUAAUUUAAGUAUUAAGUACUGGCGUCAAUAAAAUGAACGUGCACACACACAACACAUACACGCACACACACACACACACACUCUCUCUCUCUCUCUCUCGCUCCCUUAAGGAUAUGGUUAGAAAAAUAAUUAAGAACUAUUUAACAUUUAUUGUUAUUAUUAUUCAUGUUGUUAGUAUGAUAUCCCCUGCAACAACAUUUAUUGUGGUAGCUUUCACAAGAGGUUAGUGUGUAACACACAUAUAUAUAUAUAUGUAUGUAUAUAUAUAUAUAUAUAUAUAUAUAUAUAUACAAACACACACACACACGUGUGUGUGUCGCUAUUGUGUGCUUGUUGAUAGAAACAAUGAAUUCACAUACUAAAUUACUUAAUAUUUCAGGAAGUAGAGUUAUAUAUUUCUUUAUUAAUGACACAGUAAUAAAGCUCACCUAACCUCUCUCUUUCAUUCUCUCUCUCCAUAGACACACACACACACACGUUGCGUAUAAUAGCUCUGAGUACAUGUAUAUGAUAUAAAAAAAAAGCGAUUCGAGUUUUAUGUCUGUGUACAUACACUACAUCUGAUUGUGUUCGUAACGGCGUAGCACUGCAAACAUGUGCUUGAUAUUUUCUCCUUUACAUGGAACCAGACAUGUACUCAUAUUUAUAACAUGUAAUAUAUAGUACCAUGCAUUUACUUAAGAUCGUAAUUUGGGGGUAGCUUCUGCGUGGUCUCUCUCGAAGUAAUGGCCAAAUCUCGCCCCGAAUCCUACCCUACCGUCUUAAAUAGGACAAGGACAAAUUAGAUAACGAACUCUUACAUGUUCCCUAAAAGAUGGAAUGGUCACGGUUGGAAUAGCUUGGAGCUGAGUUGAUCCAGGGCAAAAUAUAAACAGCAAUGAUUUGAUAAAAAUAAAUGACAUACUUAAUUGUAAACGACAAUUAUAUAAAUAAUUGAUUCACAUACACGUAAAAAAAUCUACUCUGAAAGCAAAAACAAACUAAACAAACUAGACAGAUAAUUAUAAAAAAGAAGCAAAACAAAAACUAAAUAACUUUUAGUAAUUUUGAAAUGUCAAAACUAUUUCGUUUGCUGAAGUUUUUAACUCGUAUAUUUCCUUUACUUGUGGAGUAUUCAUGGAAUACUUUUUUAAAAUAGGGAACAGGGACUUUGCUGUUGGUUUUUUUUUUCUUUUUAAAUGUCAGUAUUUCUUGAACGUAGCUUAAAGUUUUCUUCAUAGAACUUCGUAUAAUUAACCUUCUGAAGAGAUAUUUAUCUACAUGGGGUGUGGUUAUAAAGCCAUCUGAAAGAAAGACAGAAGGUAAAACCGACACAACACCUCGGUAAAAGUGUAGCGUUACGCCUUGCCUUUCAUUUGAAUAAAAAUAUCGAUCUGUAUGUGUGUAGAACAAACUUUCAAACACAGUUUACACACUUGGUUAUAUAAACACCUUUUCUCUUAGCCAUUCACGUUUUUAUUUCUGACUUUUAUAAGAUUCAUAUACAAGAGAAGUUUGGUCGACAUGUCACUUCUUUUGGUUUCGGUCUGGAAGCGAAAUCGAAACGUGGUCUGGGGGGAAACCUUGCCGGCAACACAAACAAAAGUAAAAGAAACAUCAGGCCGAGGUAAUUGAUGGUCUCUCGGUACACUAGAAACAACAGCCAAAUUUUUCUCAAAGGAAAACAAAUGGAAAGGUUGUGAUAUUAAAUAAUAUAGUUUCUGAUAUAGGAAAACACGGAAUAGUCUUGGCUUGAACAUCUUUGAUUAUAGACCUGCACGAUCUGGCGGAUGACAUUGAAAUAAAUAACAACAUAAUAACGGUAUAUUCAGUUUCGAUUCGUCGUCAAAGCCGUUUCUCUUUAUUUAGGCGACUACAAUACUUUUGAAGAGAGAGGCCCUCCCCCUCCUUCCGCACACAUAUCAUUUAACAUUAGACAGGUAAAGUGAAGAGAUCGAUUUUCGUGAAAGGAUCUGUUUUCACUUAUUCUCGUUUAGUUGUGCUUAAAUAUUCGUUAGUUCGUUUCAUUUCCUUUCGGCUAGACGAAUACCUAUUAUUUUAUAGCCGGGCGCAUUUCCUGUCACUAACACUUAUCUAUUUUUUUUCAAGUAAGAAAGUUUUCAUGCAACUCGUUUUGAAAGUACAGAGCUAUCGGAUGAUUUGUUGUCAACAGAUAUGACCACCCAUAACUUACCUCAGCUGAGAAUGUAAAUAUCCACACACACCAGUGGCGGCUCGUCUAUAGGCAUUGCAGAACUGCAGCACUCCCUAUAUCCACUCGAUAUUAUCUAUAGCAUUCAAUAUAAUGAGUCCUUUUUUCGUUAAUUCUUUCCUUAUACUUGUACAUUAUAUAAUCCUUAAUCUUAAUGUCAGUAGCCAUCUCCUAGCUUAUGAAUAAAAAUACAAAAAUCCUUGUAUAGAACUGUGCGCUUCACAGUUCCAGCGAUGCGGUGUUUGGCUGUUGUAUGCAUGCUCACAUGUCUGAGAUAGGAAGCUUCACGCUAGGGAGAGAGAGAGCACUGUCAUUCACACAGUACCGGUGAAAAGUAGUGUUCCUUUCUGACUCCACAUGUGUUGUGCUUAAAAACGUGUUUAUAUGAAUUAGGGGGGAUUUUUGAAAAACAAGGGGGAAUUUGCAGUGGUGUUCAGUGAACAAAUUAAACACACUAGCUGGCAGUGGCUAAAACGUGAACCAAUCAAGUUUAUGUAUAAAUAUAUUUUUUUAUAUGUUUGUUUCCUUUUACACAAUAUUAAAAUAAUGGCUAAAAAUUUUCUGAAGCAGCACCUCACUAAUUUUAUCUAUGAGCUGUCACUGACACACACAUGUGCGUGUGCACAAACGAUGUGCUUCUUACAGUUUCCAACUAACAAGUCCAUUCUCAUGACUUUGGUCAGGCUGGGACUAGAGUUGAAGACACUAUCCCAAGGUGUUGUGCAGUAGGACUGAACUCAAAACCACGUGGUUGGAAAACAAGCUUCUUAACCACACAGUCAAGUAUAUCUCUGUCUGUCUCCAUAUGUCUGUAGUCAAAUAACCAAAACAAGUAGAAUAUAUAUAUAAAUAAACCGUCCAACCCAUGCUAGCAUGGAAAACGGACGCUAAAUGAUGAUAUAUAUAUAUAUAUAUAUAUAUAUAUAUCCGUCCCAUUAGAUUGAAAUAAGAUGUGAUCUCACAACCUCUGGAUAUUAUCUUGGAAUUUAUUUUUUUACUAUUUUUUAUUAUUUUAUUUUACUUUUGUACUUGUUUAAUCCAUUGAUGUUUAAACUGGCCAUAUCUGGCCCAAAUAUCCUACAUGCUUUACAUUCAAACUGGCCAUAUCUAGCCCCUCACACCUAACCUACAUUGAUAUUCUAAAAAUAAACUAUCACACUAUUGAAACUUCAAAGCUGUAAGAUAAUGCAUGAUUAAUUCAAAACAAUUUGAGUGAAAAAAGCAUUGCAUUUAACAGAUUAAUCUGAACACUAAAGGGUUAAUUCUUACCAUUAUGGACUCUGAUGAAGCUUUGGGGUUCAAUUUUUGUCCAAGUUUUGUACAAUCUUGGUAUGAUCGAUCAACUUUGGCAUACUGGACCGCCAAAGUUGAAACAGCUGUAAGAAUAGAGUUAAAUUCCCUCAUUUAUUCCUAUUUAUUUAAUCGUUAUGAUUGUAAUCAAUAAAUAGAUCUAGCUGAUGUUUGUAAGCUGAUGUUUGUCAAUUAAUUAUCUUCUCCAUUUUCUUCCUUGCCUUAUAAAUUCUGGUUAAACGUUUGUUUACCUCCACACAUACCUAUUAUUCAAUUGCACUAUUGCCUUAUAACAAUAAGCAUUUCGAUAUUAUAUAGGUAUACAUCCAGUAGUAUAUUGGACAUUUAUUAUCCCUUAGAUGGUUGUCUAACCUCAUACAUACGUAUAUAUAUAUACCUUCGAAACACACAAUGAGUCGAAACAGGGGCAGCUGAAGAAGGGGAAUGGUUCCCUCUGUUGUUUGUCUUGUACUCUGUUUUUUCGUUGUUAAAAAAAAGUCUGUUUCCUUGUUUCAUUUCUAUGUUUUCGUUUCUUGUUGUGUUCUACAUUUAUUUGUGGUGUCCUGUACUCAUAUAUGCAUGUAUAUAUACAUAUAGAUGUAGGUAUGUACAUAUAUGUAUGUAGGCAUAUGUUUUAUUUAUUAAAUUGUCAUUAUAUAUAUAUAUAUAUAUAUAUAUAUAUAUAUAUAUAUACACACACACAGGGUCAGCCAAAAGUUACCUGACAGUAAAUCAGAACCAUUUAAUUCCAAGAUUUAUUUAUGUUAAACAACUGAAUGAAUUUGAUAAAAGCAUCUAAAUAUGAACCAUCAUGAAAAUUGUUCAAACUGAAGUCCUUUAGCGACACACUUUCCAUUCGAGUCAGUACAGAAUUACAGAUAGUAUUUAUGGAAUUUUGGUUGACUGUCAGGUGACUUUUGGCCAAUCAAGUUUAAAAAUGUGUGUCUGUAUAUAUAUGUAUGAAUGUGUGUAUGCAUAUAUAUAUAUAUAUAUAUAUACCGGAGUUAGCACAUAAAUGUGAAGCAAGGUGGAAAAAAGAGUACUCAAAUACCAGAGGUAGAGUAAUAUGCUUUAUUAAAAAGCAGCAGAAAUAUAACAAAAGCUGUUACUCAGAGUUUCAUGUUCCCGUUCGUCGGACAGUUUUGUUAAAAUAGAGCAGAAAUAACGAUUGAUAAUAUCAUUAUUUCUGUUCUAUUUUAACAAAACUGUCCGAUGAACGGGAACGUGAAACUCUGAGUAACAGCUUUUGUUAUAUUUCUGCUGCUUUUAAAUAAAGUAUAUAUAUACAUACACACAAUAGAGCCGGUCCCAGAAAUUUUUUUGAAGGGCAGGCAUAAGUUAAGAGGGGGAAUACGGUUCUAGGAGAAAAACGUGUAAUAACAUUAUUUAGGAGGGUGCACUUUCAUUCUUGACUGGGAUACGUGCCCCCUCAGGCUCCCCUCCCCUCUGUCCGCUCGUGAUAUAUAUGUCUGUGCACUGUUUUUCUAUUUAAGAGACAUAAAUAUUGAAUCCCACAACCAUGUUACAACUGUUGAUAUGGUGUUGAAGACAUGCACACAUACAUUUACACACCUACAUCUAUCCAUACACACACACACACACUCUUAGACAACCACAAGUGUACGUACAAUUCUUACACUCACACACAAACAUAUACUAUACAUAUAUACACACUUACACACAUAAGUGGUUCUAUACUCACAAACAUGCACACACAUCAAUGCAUGCAUACAUACACACACACACACCUCAUUAACACAUACAGUUUCAUGUACAUAUGCAAGGUGCAUAAUUAACAGCACACACAAAAACAUGCAGUCUCCUCUAUGUUUUUGAAAUCAUAUAUUUUUCUGUUGCUCAUUUCAGUCAUUAAGAUUGUGGCCAUGCUGGGGCACCACCUUAAGGAAUUUUAGUGAAGCAAAUCAACCUCCUUAGUUUCUUUCUAAGUCUGGUACUUAUUCUAUCAGACUCUUUAAUGUUUAACUGCAAAUUUCAUGAAAAAGCUUUUAAUUAACUUUUAUAUAGUAGUUAAAUUUAAAGAGUGGGACUUAAUGAAAGAGCACAUUAUUUACAUUAUUUACUAACCUCAAGAUUCUGAGUUCAAUUCCAGACAGUGACCUGAAUAAUAAUAAUAAUAAUAAUGAUAAUAAUAAUAAUAACAACAAUAACAUUGAAAAAUACCUUAGGAAUGAGAACCCAGGUUCGAAAUUUCCUCAAGACACCUGAUGAAGGCUGGAAGUUAUAUCAGCCGAAAUGUUGUGUUAACAACAAACAAGAUGAGGACAAAUAUCCGUCAAAUGUAAAUAAUGUACAUAAUUCCUCGUCUCUUAAAUAUAGAACUAUAUUAAUGAAAGAGUCCUAACCAGGUAAAAAAAAAAGGGUAAAGACCCUCUUCAUGAAUGACCAUGGUAUGCACCUAGAAAGUUCCCCUCCAAGGUCAGUACUGGAUUAGCCAUUAAGCAAAGUAAGCACAUGUUUGGGGGAGAUCACAAAAAUAGUUACUGGUUUAUGGCACUCGGAGUCGACUUUGCCUUUCAUCCUUUCAAGGUCGAUAAAAUAACCAGUUGAGCAACGAAAUUGCAGGCCUUGUGUCAAAAUUUGAAAUCAAUAUUUAAAGUGACUUUGCAUAUAGGACUCAGAGUGAUAUUUUUUUUUUGUGACAUUUUUUGGAAAACAGCACAGCUUUUAUACCAUUAACCCUUUAAUGUUCAGAUUACUCUGUUCAGUGUAAUGCUUUUUUACUCAAAUUGUUUUGAAUUAAUCAUGCAUUAUCUUAUAGCUUUGAGGUUUCAAUGAUGUGAAUAUUUAUUUUUAGAAUGUCACUGUAGGUUUGGUGUGAGAGGUUAGAUAUGGCUAGUUCAAAUAUAAAACAUGUAGAAUAUUUUGGGCCGGAUGUGGCCGGAUUAAACACUAAAGGGUUAAAUACAGUAAGCUUACCUCUUCAUUCUAUAGUACUUACGGCACUUUAUUCACAACCCCCUCCACUGCAAAAGAAAAAAAAUAAAUGAAAAUAAAAUAAAGAGAUAAACCUGUUAAUCACUACCUGAUAAAGCGAAGAUAUUUUCUCUUUCUACAUUUUUUUUCAUAGAAGUCUGUUUUAAUAAAGAUAUACAAUGUAUGUCUGCCUUCCAUCGUAGGAUAUCAGGUUCUGAGAUUUGGCUAUUUGAUUUUUAAGAUAAAGUAAUAAAGCAGAACUUUUUUUUUCUUUUUCGGCUUCUGGUUUCUUAAACCAAUUGAAUGUAGUUGUUUUUUCUUCUUUUUUUUUAUAUUUUUUUUUUUCUUCUUCUUCUUCUUCUUCUUCUUCUUCUUCUUCUUCUUCUUCUUCUUCUUCCUCUUCCUCUUCUUCUUCUUCUUCUUCUUCUUCUUCUUCUUCUUCUUCUUCUUCUUCUUCUUAUUAUUAUUAUUAUUAUUAUUAUUAUUAUUAUUAUUAUUAUUAUUCUUCUUCUUCUUCUUAUUAUUAUUUUUUGCAAAUGUAGAAAUGGCUAAACGGAUUUAGGUUUUGGGUUUCUGGUUUGUAAUUUGUGAAUUCGAAAUCACUACAAGUUGCUACAUUGCUAGAUUUUUCAGGAAGUACACUUUUAUUCCUUUUUGCAUUUGCUGUUUUCAAUUUUGCUGUGAGAAAUUGUAGUGAGGUAAUCUUUUACCGUUAUCCCAAGAAUCUGCAAUAAUGCUGCUUAUUUUAAGUUUCCAUAGCGAUAAGGGAAUAAGAUAAAUCCCCCAUGGAUAAGUAUGUUGAACUAUCUCAGGCAUUUGUUGUUGGUAUUGUUUAUCUCAAGAUCAGCCGGAAUCAAGUAAACCAAUGACUAAAGAGAUUCCAGCUGUGACCAUCUUAUCUCUUAAGUUUACGUUAUCAAAUGUGCACUUUGAGGAAGUUUUGGUUGCUAUCUCUAUCAGGUUGAAUGACCAUACAUGGUCUUCCAUAUUGGUUUAUUACAGGUAAUUUUUUUUUGCUCACCAUAGUAAUGAACCCUUUUCUUCAUCCACAUAAAAAGCACCCAGCAUACUUUGUUAAGUGAUUGGCAUUAGGAAGGGCAUCCAGCCAUAGAAACCAUGCCAUGCCAUGACAAUUGGAGUUUUCACAGCUCCCUACUAGCUAGUUCCAUGUCAAACCAUCCAACCUAUGCCAGUAUAGAAAGUGGACGUUAAACAAUGAUGAUGGACACGCUUAUAAACUCAAAAAAAAACAAAAAACAGAAAAAGCGUAACAGUGGCUGUGUGGUAAGUAGCUUGCUAACCAACCACACGGUUGCGGGUUCAGUCCCACUGCGUGGCAUCUUGGGCAAGUGUCUUCUGCUAUAGCCCCGGGCCAACCAAUGCCUUGUGAGUGGAUUUGGUAGACGGAAACUGAAAGAAGCCUGUCGUAUAUAUGUAUAUAUAUUUAUAUGUGUGUGUGUCUGUGUUUGUCCCCCUAGCAUUGCUUGACAACCGAUGCUGGUGUGUUUACGUCCCCGUCACUUAGCGGUUCGGCAAAAAGAGACCGAUAGAAUAAGUACAAAAAGGCGGUGCUCCAGCAUGGCCGCAAUCAAAUGACUGAAACAAGUAAAAGAGUAAAGAGAGUACAGUGCCCAUGACUUCUGAAAAUAUUUUAUCCUGCUCAGAAUUGUCAAAGCAUGGAAUAAAUUACCUGCAUCUGUUGUUAACUGUCAGGACACUGUAUCCUUAAAAAGUUCCAUGCUUCCAAAAAUUUGUCAACUCAACUCCUGUAGUGCAUAAGGACCCCUUAUUCUUUAUAAUUCUUUUGAUUCUCAUUUUUCUCUGUUCUUGGUUCUUAUUCUGUGUACUCUGUACAUACUUGCUUUCAUUGGGAUAAUAAUAAUAAUAAUAAUAAUAAUAAUAAUAAUAAUUGUGUACAGUGCUCAGGUGCACUACAACUCAUCUAAAGUGUAUAUAUAAUCAGGUGUAGUUUCGGCGGAUUUCGGAAAGCAUGAGGGCCUUAAAGGAUGCAGUGUCAUGGCAGUCAACAACUGACGCAGGCAGUUUAUUCCAUGCUUCAGCAACUCUGAGCGUGAAAAAAUGUUUCCGAAAGUCAUGGGAGCUGUGUUGUUUUCUGACUUUGUAGGCAUGUCCACGUGUGUUAGACACAUGGAGAUCAAAAAGGUGUUCAGUGUUGUUGUUGGUGAGGUGGUUGAUAACUUUGUGGGUGUUUACCAAGUCCGUCGCCAGACGCCGGAGCUUCAGUGAAUCCAUGCCCAGUUUCCAUCAAGUGUAAAUGACAGAUUACAAAUGUGGAGGUGCAUAGCUUAGUGGUUAGGCUGUUGGACUCGUGAUCAUAAGAUCGUGGUUUCAAUUCCUGAGUGUGGCGACGUGUUGUGUUCUUGAGCAAAACACUUCAUUUCACAUUACUCCAAUCCACGCAGCUGGCAAAAAAAUUAGUAAUCCUGCAACGGACCGGUGUCCCAUUCAAGUGGGUGUGGUGGAUAUAUACGCCUCGGAAACCAGGAAACCAGCUCUUAUAAGUUGGUAUGACUCAAAAAGGAAGCUUACUUGACUGAGAUUCCAACAUCCUCAACACUGAACAGGUCACUGGUCCAUCACAAGGGUAACUUCUUAGUGGUUGCUGGAACUCAUUUACAGAUGAGCAAACAGGAACAACAUGAAAUGAAGUGCUUUGCUCAAGAACACCAUUCACUGCUUGGUCCAGGAAUCAAAACCAUAAUCUUGUGAUUAUGAGUGUUACACCCUGACCUCUUAGCCAUGUGCUUUCACUUUUCUGGGACUACAUUAUCCAAAUAUAUACACACAUACAUACAUAAAUACAUACAUACAUAAAUACAUACAUACAUACAUUCUUUCUCCAAACAUUGCGUAUCUGGAUAUUUCAUUAUCCAGUGUGUUCUUUGCCUUUUUAAGAAGGGAGGAUGUGAUUUGAGGAGAUUUGGCUGCUUAUUCUUUGUAAGCCUAGUACUUAUUUUAUCAGUUUCUUUUGCCGAACCGCUAAGUUACAGGGACGUAAACACACCAGCAUCGGUUGUCAACUGAUGUUGGGGGAGACAAACACAGACACACAAACAUAUACACACACAUACAUACAUACAUACAUAUAUAUAUAUUAUAUUAAAUUAGAGAUAAAACCACUAUUAGGCAAAUCAAACAAUGAAAAACUUAAGCCAAUACAUAAAAUUAAUUAAUUUAUAUUAUUUUAAAUAUAUAUCAAAAGUAUUAAAAGUUUAAUGAAAGAUAAUGAGUAAAACACUACGAUUGUUUCAUGGCUGUCCAAUUCGUAAUAAUUCGAGUUAUGGUUACAGUCAAUUGAAAAUUGAAAAUCAGACUCUAUAUAUAUAUAUAUAUAUAUAUAUAUACGAUGGGCUUCUUUCAGUUUACCAAAUCCACUCACGAGGCUUUGAUCGGCCUGAGGCUAUAGUAAAAGACACUUGCCCAAGGUGCCAUGCAGUGGGACUGAACCCGGAACCAUGUGGUUCGAAAGCAAGCUACUUACCACACAACCACUCCUGCGCCUAUGUGAAAUAUUUUGAAACACUGGUGCUGUGGUUUCUAUAUAUUGACUCCAUGUUGAUCAGUUUGAUGCUGAUGGUGAUAGUAAUGAUGUUGAUGAUGGUCUGUGAUGGACUUAACCCUUUAGCAUUUAAACCGGCCAUAUCCGGCCAAAAGUAUUCUGCCUGUUUUAUGUUCAAACUGGCCAGAUCUAGUCUCUCACACCAACCCUACAAUAUCGUUUGAAAAAUUAACAGCUACCUCAUCAAAAUCUCAUAGCUACAAGAUAAUGUAUGAUUAGUUCAAAACUAUGUGGAUGGAAAAGCAUUCAUUUUGGAAGAAUAAUGUGAACACCAAAGGGUUAAAACAACAAAACGAUAUCAGUGUUAUAUAAUCACAUGACAUUUCGCAUAUCAUUUUGGAAAUUAAUUAUUAAUAGAUUAAUUGAUAGUAAAUUGUGUGAUUUAUGUUACCUGUUGUUUUAAAACAUGGCAACAAAAAAAUUGACUGUAUGUGAUGGUUUGAAGGUAAACAAUCAUGACAUCAAAGGUGAUGACGAUGAUGAUGAUGAUGACGAUGAUGAUGACAAAUCUGGUAUGAAAUGCAAAAUGAUAAGUGAUGGGUUUGUUUUAUUUGCUUACAGAUUUUAAUGCUUCAUCUCCAAACAGGAUAUAGUUCUGUGUAUCAUCAACUCCCAACCACCACUAUCAUCACCAUAUGUCAUUUUUUUUUUCCAUGUUGAUAUAUAUAUAUAGUUGGAUGGGUCCCAAAGUACUUUGCCAAUUGUUGCAGGUCCUUCAUCAUCUGCCACACACACCAACAGAGAAAAUGACUAAUUUUUGUUACUGCAUUUGGUACAGUUUUCAUAACAGAUUUAUUCAUAGUAUGGACUGGGUGCAUUUCGUUCACUGCCAUAGCUUGCAGUAGGGGUGGUCCACCCCCAGGUAGCACUUUUAAAGGGGCGGCACUUUUGAGUCUGCUCUAGGCAAUAUGUGUUUUUUGUGGGAUCUGGGGUGGAAAACGGAAGGGCCACCCCGGGUGGCACACACUCUAGCUACGCUAGUGGUUUUGUUAUACUUUUGACAGCAGGGAGAUCAUUUGCUGCAGAACUAAAGGCUACUCUCUAUUUUAUUCUAUUUUAUUCUGGAGCACUGCCUUAGCGGUUUUUUUUUUAGUCAAAGAAAUUGGUGUUGACUUGACGGAGGUUUGUGCUCUCUGAGUGUUCUUGCUGUUAUUAUUUGGCAGAAUCGUUAGAAUAUUAGAAAAUGCCUUUUGAUAUCUCUUCUGACUCUUUACAUUAUGAAUUUCAAAUCCCAGGGUGUUAUCUGAGGGAAAUUUGAGGGUUGUUUCUGGCAGAUUGUGUGACUGUUGUAGAGGUUUUUGGCUCCAAAAGUUGGCAGUUGUUCAUACUUACCUUUACUGGCCCCUUUCUGUUGUUGUAGUUGAUGAUGAUGGGAGUGAUAACGAUUGUGUUGUGCAGUUCAAUGAUAGUCCUUGAUGUUAAGUGAUAUGAUAAAUAUGUGGUAGAAGAACAGGGCAUGUUUAGGAAGAUUACAGCUGCGUGUAUGAGCUCUUUGUAUGCGUUCUGUGUAUUGGGUUUAAGACUGUAGUACAGAACAAGUAAACUUCUCAGCAACUGCUUCCUCGCACCUCCUCCCUCACCAAUUUUCCCCCUCUCAUCUCCCACACCAAUUGCCCCCCUCCCACCUCCCGUAGCCUUCUCCCACCUAUCAUUCCAAUUAUCUCCUCCCAUCACCCUCACCAAUUACCCCCCUCCUACUCACAAGUGUUUUAUAGUUACAACCUUUUGACUUCCUCACACUUUCAGCUUUCUGACUGAAGACUUUGUGAAGGUGAUGAUUGGUUGGUUGGUUAUUUAGUAGUAGUAGUUGUAGUAGUAGUAGUACUAGUAGUAGUUUAGUAGUAGUUGUUGUUGUUGUUGUUGGUGGUGGUGGUGGUGGUGAUUAACUGGUGAUGAUGGUUGAGGUUUGAAUAAUGAUGGGUACUACUGCUGGUGGAGGUGGUGUUGGGCACUAUCUACAGGGGUAACACUUACUGUGGAUGGUGUGGAUUGUGGUAUUUAUGAUAGUUGUUGUUGUUGGUGAUGGUGGUGGUAGUGGCAGCAGAGCAGGGGUGGUGGUGGCUAAGGCCAUUAGUGGCAAGAAGUAGUAUAAUACAGAUUAUUCUGAAUCAAAGGAUCUCCUUUGAUGCAGGUGAUGUGAGAGAAGUGCCUUGUUUCUUCCUUUUUCUUUUCUUAUUUUUUGCUUUAUUAUUGUAAUUCCAUUAGAAACCUGUAAAAGAAAGAAAAUAAUAAUUAGCCGCCUCUAUUGUCUUCUCCUACUAAAUAUCUUCCUCCCAGGCAGCCACCUUAGAUACACAAGUUUGAUGGUAGGACUAUUUAUCAUUGAUAUAAAUUUUGAAUAAGUUUGUGUAUAAUAUUGUAUAAUGUUUAAUGUAUGUAUGUGUGUGUGUGUAAGUAUGUGUAUGCAUGUGUACUUGUGUGUGUAUGUAUGUAUAUAUGUGUAUGUACUUGUGUGUAAGUAUGUGUAUGCAUGUGUACUUGUGUGUGUAUGUAUGUAUAUAUGUGUAUGUACUUGUGUGUAAGUAUGUGUAUGCAUGUGUACUUGUGUGUGUAUGUAUGUAUAUAUGUGUAUGUACUUGUGUGUAAGUAUAUGUAUGCAUGUGUACUUGUGUGUGAAUGUAUGUAUCUAUAUAUGUGUAUGUACUUGUGUGUAUGUGUAUGCAUGUGUACUUGUGUGUGAAUGUAUGUAUCUAUAUAUGUGUAUGUACUUGUGUGUAUGUGUAUGCAUGUGUACUUGUGUGUGUAUGUAUGUAUGUAUAUAUGUGUAUGUACUUGUGUGUAAGUAUGUGUGUAUGUAUGUGUAUGCCUGUGUACUUGUGUGUGUGUAUAUGUAUUUAUGCAUAUGUAUGCUUUUUUGUGUAUAUAUUUAUAUACACACACACGUGCACACGCACACUCACACACACAUACACACAUACACACAUACACACACAUGUAUGUAUUUGUCUUUCUUCGCUGACUCAUAACCACUUCACUGAACUGCGGCAGUCAAAUCUUGUUGACUUUCAAGUAGAUUCACCUUGAAUGCUAUGAUGAUGAUGAUGAUGAUGGACCGAAGAACUGAAAUGAUUCCCAUGUCAGUCUUUUUCAUAUUACCAGAACCUUCAAUUCUUUCGUUACCAAAUAAGGAGAGUUAAACUGCAUGUUACACAUGGCCAAAAAAGCAGGGUCAUAACUGUGUGGUUCAGAAAUCCAUUUUGCAACUAUGUGGCAGGUUUGAGUUUAAUUAUAAAGUACAGUAUUGUAUCUUGAGCAAAUGUCUUCUUAUCUUCUACUGUAACCUCAAGUUGAUCAAUGUAGUAAUUCUUGUUGGAGUGAGACUGUGAAGAUUGGAAAGAGGUCAGGAAAAUUGGUCAUCAUUGUUUUAAUGUUUUCUUCACAUGCUUGCAUAGGUCAGACGAAAUUUGUUAAGGUAAAUUUUCUUAUGGUUGGAUGCCCUUCCUGUCAACAACCUUUAUCUCUUUCCAAACAAUAUAAUAUUUCUCUGUGAACAGACAUGUUUACACAGUUUAUUGGAAAUGAAUGAAUGAUAUUUAUUUACAACAACUCAAUUUAAGACAAGGAGACACAAACAUACAUACUCUCACAUAUAUACAUGUUAAUGUGAUUUUUAACAGUUUUUAACCCUUUCAUUACCAAAUUUCUCUUGAUAUACACUGCCUUGUUUCAGUUAAUUUUGAAGAAACAACUGAAGCAUUUAGUAAAAUAACCUUGUCAUUAUUAAAUUGGUGUUUAGAACAUAAAUUAACAAGGAAUUCUGAUGGAAGUUUAAAUUUAGUUUUAAUUUAGAUAACCUUAAAACAGGGAGUUUAUAUAACAGAGCUGGAGCAGUCUUAGGCAGGUUGUUAUUAAAAAGGUUAAACUUGUUAAACUUGUUGAAGAAAGAGGAAUUAUAUGAAUGCAAAUUGUAAUUUCAGCAACAACACCAUGGAAGAACCAUUUAAUAUCAUAAUGCUCUUUUACUCUUUUACUUGUUUCAGUCAUUUGACUGUGGCCAUGCUGGAGCACCGUCUUUAGUCGGGCAAAUAGACCCCAGCACUUAUUCUUUGUAAGCCUAGUACUUAUUCUAUCGAUCUCUUUUGCCAAACCGCUAAGUUACGGGGACGUAAACACACCAGCAUCAGUUGUCAAGCGAUGUUGCGGGAACAAACACAGACACACACACAUACACACACACACACAUACAUAUAUACAUAUACAUAUAUAUAUAUAUACAACAGGCUUCUUUCAGUUUCCGUCUACCAAAUCCACUUACAAGGCUUUAGUUGACCUGAGGCUAUAGUAGAAGACACUUGCCCAAAGUGCCACGCAGUGGGACUGAACCUGGAACCAUGUGGUUUGUAAGCAAGCUACUUACCACACAGCCACUCCUUUACUUUGAAAUUAAAUUUAUUUCAUGAGGCAUUAGGAUUUUUGUUGCACCACUGCAUCCUGUUUCUUAGACAUAAUAUAUCCUUGAUUACUUCAUCUUGUACUUACUUUAAGAAAAUUGUAGGAUGUGAUUUGAGGGAGGUUUGAAGGAUGUUCCUUGUAGAUUGAAUGAUCAUGUAGUUCUUCCCAGUUUUAGCUGUUAGUCAUUGGUGGAACUUCAUCAUUACACAAAAUGUGAAGUGAAAUGUGAAGCCCUUUAGCAUUCAGAUUACUCAGUGGAAUUUAAUACUUAUCUAUCCACAUUGUUUUGAAUUAGUUAUGCAUUAUCUGAUAGCCGUGAGUUUAUGAUGAUAUAUUUGUUUAUUUUUAAAACGUCAUUAUAGGGUAUGUAUAAAAGGCCAUAUCUUAACAGUUUGAACAUAAAACAGGUAGAAUAUUUAGGUUAGCUAAGGCCAGUUUAAAUGGUAGAAUAUUUAGGUUGGAUAAGGCCAGUUUAAAUGGUAGAAUAUUUAGGUUGGAUAAGGCCAGUUUAAAUGCUAGGAUAAGGCCAGUUUAAAUGGUAGAAUAUUUGGUGAUGGUGGUGGUGGUGGCUAAGGCCAUUAGUGGCAAGAAGUAGUAUAAUACAGAUUAUUCUGAAUCAAAGGAUCUCCUUUCAUGCGGGUGAUGUGAGAGAAGUACUUUGUUUCUUCCUUUUUCUUUUCUUAUUUUUUGCUUUAUUAUUGUAAUUCCAUUAGAAACCUGUAAAAGAAAGAAAAUAAUAAUUAGCUGCCUCUAUUGUCUUCUCCUACUAAAUAUCUUCCUCCCAGGCAGCUACCUUCGAUACACAAGUUUGAUGGUAGGACUAUUUAUCAUUGAUAUAAAUUUUGAAUAAGUUUGUGUAUAAUAUUGUAUAAUGGUUGGAUAAGGUCAGUUUAAAUGGUAGAAUAUUUAGGUUGGAUAAGACCAGUUUAAAUGCUAGGAUAAGGCCAGUUUAAAUGGUAGAAUAUUUAGGUUGGAUAAGGCCAAUUUAAAUAGAAACAGCUUGGUGUUUCUUUUAAAUAGUUUGGUCCUAUCAUAUAGCUGCUUCAGUUUCAACACCAUGUCUCAGAUCAAGUCACACUUAUUAGACGAAUACAACUCUGUAUAUCUUUAAUUUGUUUCAGUCACAUAUAUGUUAAUGUUCGUUUUUAUGUUCAGUUUUGCUUUAAUCUGAUAGGUUACUCUAUACUUUUGUAGAGUACAAAUUUAUUCUUCUUAAACUAAGAAGGUUGUUGGCAGUGACUUGGCAGUUUCAACUUGUUAAGCCAUUGUUGAUGAUAGUUUAACUGGCCAAAACUUUGAAGUCACUAUUAACAACAUUUUUGUUUGGAAACUGAAAGAAGCCCAUUGUAUAUAUGUAUAUAAGUAUAUAUAUAUAUAUAUGUAUGUUUGUGUAUAUGUUUGUGUGUCUGUUUGUCCCCCCCCUCUACAUCACUUGACAACCGAUAGUGGUGUGUUUACGUCCCUGUAACUUAGCAGUUCGGCAAAAGAGACCGAUAGAAUAAGUGCUAGGCUUACAAAGAAUAAGUCCUAGGGUCAAUUUGCUCGACUAAAGGUGGUGCUCCAGCAUGGCAGCAGUCAAAUGACUGAAGCAAGUAAAAGAGUAAAUAUAUAUAUAAAUAUAUUAGAUGAUAAAUCAUAUGGUGUACAGGUAUACACCCGGUAGCUUACUGGUAAAGCACGUUCACUUUGACAGUGUUUGUUGUGUAUUUGGAUAAUGAGGGAGACAAAAUGGAAGAUACAAGAAUUUUUAUUAAUCACUACAAUUGUUUCAACCCAUCUAGCAUCUUUUCUUUACAAGGACUGAGAAGACACCUUGUGCAACUCAUUAUUUUAAUGAGUUAUAUCUAAUUAUCACCAUGCUGGCAUGGGUUUGAUGGUUUGACUGAGGACUGGUGAACCAGAUGGCUGCACCAGGCUCCAAUCUGACCUGGCAGAAUUUCUUCAGCUGGAUGCCUUCCUAAUGUCAUCCACUCUGAGAGUGUAGUGGGUGCUUUUAUGUGCCACCGGCACGAGGGCUAGUCAGGUGGUUCUGGCAAUGACCAUGCUCAAAAGGUGUUUUUAUGUGCUACCUGCAUGGGAGCCAGUCUGGUGGCACUGGCAACAACCACGCUCAAAUAUUGUUUUUCACAUGCCACCAUGCUCGAAUGGUGCUUUUCACAUGCCACUAGCAUGGGAGCUAAGCAUGGCUCUGGUAACGAUCACACUUGGAUGUGCUCUCAAUGUUCCACUGACACGAGUGCGAAUCAGGUGGUACUGUCAUCGGCCAACGUCAGCGAUUUUGAUUUGAUUUCACUUGCCUCAAUAAGUCUUCGCAAGCAAAGUUUAUUGUCCCAUGAAUGACGAGUAAUCAUAAGUGGGCUGGUUAAACGCCACGCUCGGAUGUACUUUUAACAUCCACUGGCACAAGUGCCAAUCAGGCAGUACUGGCAUAGGCCACAGACUAUGGUCUCACUUGGCUUGUUGGGUCUUCUCAAGCACAGCAUAUCUCCAAAGGUCUCGGUUAUACUGGCACGUGAAAGACAACAUUCGAGUGAGAUCGUUGCCAGUGCCACCAGAUCAGAUUGAGCCUGGUGCAGCCUUCUGUCUCACAGUCCCCAGUCAAACCAUCCACCCUAUGCCAGCAUGGAAAGCAGACAUUUAACGAUGACGACGACAAUAUACAUAUAUAUAUAUAUAUAAAGCAAAUGGAAUUAAAACACCAUCUAGAUAUUAUUUCCCAAACACAAACUAUUAAUUACACUUGCAGUGCUGGAUGAUGAUGUUGUUGAUGGUGAUGAUGUCUUAAUUAGGAAUGCAGCAUUAGUAGCUAUGUUCAAGCAACCAGUUUUUAAAUCAUAAUAUUGACAUCUAAAGUAAUUGAAGUAAUUUGUCAGCUGAAAUUGAAGUUAGUCUGAGCAACUACAGAAUCAUUCCACUAAACAACAACAACAACAUUAAUAGCAAUUCCUAACCUGGGUUUAAAGCAAGAAAUUUUGUUAAGAGAGGUUAGUCAAUUACAUGGUUUCUAUUAAGUACUUGACUGGUAUUCUGAUAAACUUCGUAAGAUGAAAGGCUUUGGUUGGCCUGAGGCUAUAGUAGAAGACGCUCGCACAAGGCACCAUGCAGUGGGACUGAACCUGGGAACCAUGUGGUUGGGAAAUGAGCUUCUUACCACACAACUACAUCUGCACCUAAAUACACACACACACACACACACACAAUGAUAUAUAUAUAUAUAUAUAUAUAUAUAUAUAUAUAUAUAUAUAUAUAUGUUAUAUAUUUUACUUGUUUCAGUCAUUUGACUGCGGCCAUGCUGGAGCACUGCCUUUAGUUGAGCAAAUUGACCCCAGGACUUUGUAAGCCAAGUACUUAUUCUAUCAGUUCUUUUUUGCCAAACCUCUAGGUUACGGGGACGCAAAAAGACACCAGUAUUGGUUGUCAAGCGAUGUUGGGGGGACAAACACAGACACACACAUAUAUAUACACACACAACGGUCUUCUUUCAGUUUCCGUCCACCAAAUCCACCUAUAUAUAUAGGUAUACAUAUACACAUGAUGUGUGUUUGAUAAUGAUAUAUAUAAGAAGAAAGAGUGGUGAAAGAGUACAGCAGGGAAGACCACCCUCUGCCGGAGCCUCGUGGAGCUUUUAGGUGUUUUCGCUCAAUAAACACUCACAAUGCCCGGUCUGGGAAUCGAAACCGCGAUCCUGCGACCGUGAGUCCGCUGCCCUAAUCACUAGACCAUUGCGCCUCCACAUAUAUAUAUAUAUAUAUUGGCGUUAGGAAGGGCAUCCAACUGUAGAAACACUGCCAGAUCAGACUGGAGCCUGGUGCAGCCUUCUGGCUUCCCAGUUCCCCGGUCGGACCGUCCAACCCCUGCUAGCAUGGAGAGCGGACGUUAAACGAUGAUGAUGAUGAUGAUGAUGAGAUAUAUAUAUAUAUAUAAAUAAAUAUGUAUGACUUGUCAGUGAUUAUGUUCGCCAACAACCAUUGUUAUUUUGUUUUAUAUUAAUAGUGCAUAGGCAAUCAAUAAUUCAAUUUCUUGUUUGUAUACAAGUCCAAGUUAAGGUUUAUGAUUAUGAUUAAACUGGUAUAUUAAAAAGAAAAAAAAACGACAUCAAACUAUAAACAAGCCAUAUGAUUACUAAAGUAGAUUAACAUAAAUAUAUCUUUAAAAAUAUAAUUAUAAAGCUGAGUGUUGUUGUUAUUCAUUGAAAACUGCUUAGCUGAUGAUAAAAUCAAUUUGUAAAUUAUAAACUUUUACCAUUUUCCAUAAAAUUCGAAUUUUCAAGAACACAAUGGAAAUAGUAGUUGUGAUGCCGGUGGCACAUAAAAAGCACUAUCCGAACGUGGCCGAUGCCAGCGCCGCCCCGACUGGCUUCUGUGCCGGUGGCACAUAAAAAGUACUAUCCGAAUGUGGCCGAUGCCAGCGCCGCCCCGACUGGCUUCUGUGCUGGUGGCACAUAAAAAGCACUAUCCGAAUGUGGCCGAUGCCAGCACCGCCCCGACUGGCUUCUGUGCCGGUGGCACAUAAAAAGCACUAUCCGAAUGUGGUCGAUGCCAGCACCGCCCCGACUGGCUUCUGUGCCGGUGACACAUAAAAAGCACUAUCCGAAUGUGGCCGAUGCCAGCACCGCCCCGACUGGUUUCUGUGCCGGUGGCACAUAAAAAGCACUAUCCGAAUGUGGCCGAUGCCUGCACCGUCCCGACUGGCUUCUGUGCCAGUGACACAUAAAAAGCACUAUCCGAACGUUGCCGAUGCCGGCACCGCCCCGACUGGCUUCUGUGCUGGUGGCACAUAAAAAGCACCAUCCGAAUGUGGCCGAUGCCGGCACCACUCCGACUGGCUUCUGUGCUGGUGGCACAUAAAAAGCACCAUCCGAAUGUGGCCGAUGCCAGCACCGCUCCCACUGGCUUCUGUGCCGGUGGCACAUAAAAAGCACCAUCCGAAUGUGGCCGAUGCCAUCACCGCUCCGACUGCCUUCUGUGCUGGUGGCACAUAAAAAGCACCAUCCGAACGUUGCCAGCGCCGCCUUGGCUGGCUUCCGUGCCGGUGGCACGUUAAAAGCUCCAACCGAUCGUGGCCGAUGCCGGACCCCCCCCCCCCAGCACCUGUGCAGGUGGCAUGUAAAAAGCACCCACUACACUCGCGGAGUGGUUGGCGUUAGGAAGGGCAUCCAGCCGUAGAAACUCUGCCAGAUCAGACUGGAGCCUGGAGCAGCCCCUGGCUUCCCAGACCCCGGUCUAACCGUCCAACCUGUGCUAGCGCGGAAAACGGACGUUAAACGAUGAUGAUGAUGAUGAUAAUCAUUGGCACAUGAUAGUUUUGUUCUUGUUCUUCUUCUUCCUCGUCUUAAUAAUUAUCUAGUGUACAAUAUGGUCUCAGAGUCAUUCUAUUCUAGACGAGUGGUUACCUAACUUAUUAUGUACUCUUUUACUUGUUUCAGUCAUUUGACUGUUAGCCAUGCUGGAGCAUCGCCUUUAGUCGAGCAAAUCGACCCCAGGACUUAUUUUUUGUAAGCCUAGUACUUAUUCUAUCGGUUUCUUUUGCCGAACCGCUAAGUUACGAGGAGGUAAACACACCACAAUCGGUUGUCAGGUGAUGUUGGGGGGACAUACAUACAUACGUACAUACAUACAUACAUACUUAUAUAUAUAUAUAUAUGUAUAUAUAUACGACAGGCUUCUUUCAGUUUCUCUCUACCAAAUCCACUCACAAGGCUUUGGUCAGCCCGAGGCUAUAGUAGAAGACACCUGCCCAAAGUUAGAUGGAUGGAUGGGUGCAUGCAUGCAUGCAUAUUAGAGCCUGGUGCAGCCGCUGGCUUUCCAGACCUUAGUCAAACUGUCCAACCCCUGUCAGCUAGAAAAUGGACAUUAAACGAUGGUGAUAUAUAUGAGAUCUGAUCAAUAAGUAUUUGAAUUGUUGGCAUAGUAAUGAAGCUAAAGCACACAGAGUGAAGCUACUUGGCAAAAAUUAACUUUGAACUCUGCUGUUGUAGUAAGUAGCUUGCUUACGAACCUCAUGGUUCUGGGUUCAGUCCCACUGCAUGGCACUUUGGGCAAGUGUCUUCUACUAUAGCCUCGGGCCGACCAAAGCUUUGUGAGUGGAUUUGGUAGAUGGAAACUGAAAGAAGCCCGUCGUAUUUAUGUAUAUAUAUAUAUAUAUAUAUAUAUAUAUAUAUAUAUACACACACAUAUAUACAUAUAUGAUCAUAUGAUCAUAUAUAUAUACACAUAUAUACAUAUAUGAUCAUAUGUGAUCUCUUGAGCACCACCAGCUCAAAUAUUUUUUCCUCUGUCUUCCCUUCUUGGGAUCUUUCCUUCUCCUUGUUUCUGACGAAGAGCUCCGCUCGAAACGUUAAACCCUCCUUCCCUUCUUUCCUGAGCGUCAAUAAUACUUUAAUUGUUCCACGUCCUGCGUUGCUGUGGUUUUUUUCCUCUCUUUUUUUCUGUGUUUUCUUGUUUGGAUUAACUAUAUAUAUAUAUAUAUAUAUAUAUAUAUAUAUAUAUAUGUGUGUGUAUGUGUGUCUGUGUUUGUCUCCCCAUCAUCGCUUGACAACCGAUGCUGGUGUGUUUAUGUCCCUGUAACUUAGCGGUUUGGCAAAAGAGAUAGAAUAAGUACUAGGCUUACAAAGAAUAAGUCCUGGGGUCGAUUUGCUCGACUAAAGGCGGUGCUCCAGCAUGGCCACAGUCAAAUGACUGAAACGAAUAAAAGAGUAAAAGAAAGUUAAAACCAUGUUCUGGUUUUCACGUUUUUUAUUAUGGUAUUUUAACAUAAAUGCUCAUAAAGUUAAAUUAGCACUUUCAUACAUGGCGUAAUUAUCAGAUUUCAGAUGUGUUUAACUGACAGUUGAGUUCCUGAUAAACUUCAGUACCUCUUAGAACGCUCCAACAAACUGAAUUUUUAGAAUACCUUUUUGACCAAUCCGCAUGCAUCUUAAGAACCGCGGUUUUCCAGGUGUACCGAUAUUCUGUAACUUGUUUAUAUUUAUAUGCUAGAGAUAUUUUUUUAUCCUCAUCAUUAACUGGUUGUUAUAUUAUUGCUGUUAUAUCCGUUCAAAACAUUUUAAUAAACAGUUUUUCUUUUAUCUUUCCUCUUUAUAUCUCUAGCAUAAACAAGUUACGGAAUAUCGGUACGCCUUGCAAACCGUGAUGUUUGAGAUGCAUGCUGAUUGGUUAAAAUGGUAUUCUAAAAAUUCAGAUUGUUGGCGCAUUUUAAGAGGCACUAAAUUUGUCAAGAACUCGACUGUCAGUUAAACACAUUUGAAAUCUGAUGAUUACCCUAUGUAUGAAAGUGCUAAUUUAACUUUAUGAGCAUUCCAAAAUAUUUUUUUUUAAUGUUAAAAUACCAUAAAAAAAAGCAUGAAAACCAGACCAUGUUUUAACUUUAUUAUUCAACUGAUAUAUUAUUCUAUACACAUUCACACAAAUUUGAAACAAAACAUAUAUAUGAAAUGUAUGUGUGUGUAUAUAUAUAUAUAUAGCGCCGCCUGACUGGCGUCUGUGUCAGUGACAUGUAAAAGCACCAACUGAUUGUGGUUGUUUGCCAUUCUCCUCUGGCCCUGUGCCGGUGGCAUGUAAAAGCACCCACUACACUCACGGAGUGGUUGGCAUUAGGAAGGGCAUUCAGCUGUAGAAACACUGCCAGAUCAGACUGGAGCCUGGUGCAGCCUCCUGGCUUCCCAGACCCCAGUCAAACCGUCCAACCCAUGCUAGCAUGGAAAACGGACAUUAAACAAUGAUGAUGAUAUACACAUAUAUGAAAUGUAUGUGUGUGUAUAUAUAUAUAUGUAUCAAAAGGAUGUGUUAUAAUACUAUUUCACAUAUACAAAACCAGCCUUACUAACAAUCCAACAUACCUCCAUCAUUAACUGCCCCACGAUAUCAUUAUGCUCAGAAAUAAGGUAAAGGAUGUCCAAGAAAAUAACAUUCUUCCAUUGUUCUAGAGACCAAUUCUGUAGGUUUUUACUCCACUCUAAAUGCUUUGCAACAUUUGUUUUUGAAAAUUGCGGUUUUCUAAUUGCAACCCUCCUGUGAAAUCUGGCUUUGUGCAGCUCCUGGUGAACAGUUUUCGUGGAAACUAGGUUCUUGAGCUGGCCAUUAAGCUCUUCAGUAAAUUUGGGAGCUGUACUUUUGUGAUCCUUUCUGACAAUUCCUGUAAGAGUUCAACAGUCCCUAUCUGAAAGUUUUGGUUUUCUUCCAGAGUUUUGUUUUUCUCUCUUUCUCAAAGGCUGUCAUUACUUUCGAGACAGUACUUCUUGAUACACCAAACAUUUCAGCUGUUUUUCUUUACACUAGUGCCUGCCAUACGAGCACCAACAAUUUGACCUCUUUGAAAGUCUGAUAGAUGUGUCAUUUUAAUGAAUUUAAAUUUACCUUUUUCUGAUGAUAUCUGAAAAGAAACAGCAAUUUUUGCAAAACAUAUUAAGCAACACUAAUAAUAAAUCAAAAAACAUAAAAAUAAACAAGCUUUUAAUGGUUUUAUAGAUGUUUCAAAAUUAUGAUGCUAUGAUGCUAGGUGUUUCCAUCAUUUUGUCAAAACCCCUGUGUAUUCGCCAUGAUAGAUCGGUAGCCUCUACACACAUUUUUUUCUCUCCUUGUUUCUUUCUGUGUUCCUUUCUGUGGAAGAGCAUAGGUUUGAAAUGUAAAAGACUUUUUCAAUUCCUGAGUAUUAUACUAGUAUAUCUGUUUGUUUUCUACACCACCUGUCUUCUUCUUUUGUUUUUUUCAUAAACUCUCCCUAUACACAUACACACACACACAUAUAUAUAUAUAUAUAUAUAUAUAUACACACACAUAGUUAUAUACACAUAUAUAUUCGUGUAUACAUGUAUAUCUAUUUACUCGUUUCAGUCAUUAGAUUGUGGCCAUGUACAUACAUACAUACAAGCUCACACAUGCUUACACACACACUUUAUUGUUCACCUAGGGUUAGUAAUAAUUCCACAAAGAAGCAAAAAAAAAAAGAAAAAAGAACCCACAAAACAAAAAUACUUAUUUGAUAAAGCCUGAGUGUUUCAAGUCAUACAUAUGAAGGCACAUCUGUUACUAUAUAUUUAAUUCAAUCAUGCUUUGUCGUGAUCGGCCUGAAUACCAAAACUAUGCCAUCAAUAACAUUAAGUAUUUAACUAAGAAUUAAUCACAGAUCUAAUUUAUUGAUUAGUUCCAUAUAAGAUAGGACAGCAUCAAUAGAAAUACAAUUAAGUGAAACGAAUUUCUCAUUUGUAUAUUUGCAAUAAAUUUAUGUUAUCAAUAAUGUUAGUGCUAUGCAACUAUUAAUUAAUUAUAGGCGUACCAUAUUCUACAUAGGUAGGUAACCUGAUAUUUUUUAGUGUGAUCAAGUAAUCAACAAUAAGUAUUAUUAGUGUUGAUGAGUGAAAAAGUAUUUAAUGAUAACAUUAUGAAGAAAGCUCUGGAAAUAUUUUGUGAUAGGUUGUAUCUGGCUGGUUUGAAUAUAAAACGCAGGAUAUUUAUGCUUGAUAUGGCUGUUUGAAUGAUAAAAAGUUAAACUUUCAGAAAUUAUGAAAUCAUCAUCAUCAUUGUUCGCCCGUGGUCGAGACAAUGGAAUUUACCAUGCCAUGCCAGACUUCACGGUCCAUCAUAGCAUUACGGAGGUCCUGUUGCUGGAUGCCUGUAUCCCUGGAGAUUACAUCUGGUAUUGCGAGUAGAUGGUUUCCAGAGGAGAAGAGUAGAAAUUGCCUCGUUUUCAGCUCUACAACAAUGUCCAGCAAACUGGACUCUCCUACCUUUCACAAGAGAUGACACAGGUGGUAGUUUCCCAUAUAUUUGCAUUUUGGUUGGAUGGCGCUUCCACGAGAGAUUUUGAGCUCUCAUAAGGAGGCGAGUGUAGGUUCCAUCCAACCACCUCUCAAGCUUCUUUGAUAACGUCCAGGUUUCUGAGCCAUAUAGUAGAACCAAUUCUACUAUAUGGCUCAGAUUAUGAAAUAGCUGGACUAGAUAUUAUGAAAUAUCAAAAUUUCUAUUCUGUCUAGAACAGUGGUUCUCAACCAGGAUCCAUAUAGCCCUCAAGGGUCCACAUAAUAUUUUAGGGGGUUCACACCACAAAAUAUGUGUGUGUGUGUAUAUAUAUGUAUAUAUAUAUAUAUAUACACACUUAUAUAGACACAUGUAUACAUAUAUCCACAUACAUAUACAAAGACAUAAAUAUAUACAUAUAUACAAACAUGAAUAUAUAUACACAUAGUGAAACUAAUAGGAAUGAAACUAUUGAAAAUGAAAUAAUAUAAUAGUAAAACUAUUAUAUCACAUUACAAUAGAGAUGAUAUUGUUUCACUUUUGAUGCGCAAUACCAAAACAGUCUAAGAGAUUGCUCUGGAUUUGCAUUAGGCAAGAAGUUGAAAAUGUUUUGGCCCCUGACAUUCCGGACAGACAUUCUCAGUUUUAUAUAUAUAGAUAAAACCAACACACAAAACUAGUUUCUAUUUGAAUAAUACAUGCUGUGUUAGAAAUGAUUGAGAAUUACUGGCUUAACCAUAACUGAUUAACCGAUUCUAAAGCUUUCUAAUCGUUAUUACAUGGUUAAAUUAGCUGUUAGCCACAACCAUCACUCACCUCCCCUAUCACAUUCAUACCUUCUUCCAAGCCCAACUUACCAUUCACUGUCACAGCUCAGGGAUUCUAGGAUACCUAGUCUAUUGCUCUACCAUUCAUACUACCAGGCAUUUGGACCAGAUUUACCAAAAAAACUGAACAGGAUUAUUGUUGCUAUAUCGUACCAUUUUUAGAACAAUGAAUAUUCUCGUCUUUUGAUAAUGACAUUUUUCUAAUCAUCAUCAUCAUCAUCAUCAUCGUUUAACGUCCUCUUUCCAUGCUAGCAUGGGUUGGACGAUUUGACUGAGGACUGGCGGACCAGAUGGCUGCACCAGGCUCCAGUCUGAUCUGGCAGAGUUUCUACAGCUUGAUGCCCUUCCUAACGCCAACCACUCCGAGAAUGUAGUGGGUGUUUUAUGUGCCACCGGCACGAAGGCCAGUCAAGCGGUACUGGCAACGGCCACGCUCAAAUGGUGCUUUUUAUGUGCCCAUAAACCGGCCACUUCUAUCUUUAUCUAUAUACUCUACUGGUCGAUAACUUAGAGUGUGCUUCUUUUUUGGAUUUAUGAUUUACUGAUAUAUAUAUAUAUAUAUAUAUAUAUAUAUAUAUAUAUAUAUAUAUAUUUAUUUUGUUUUGGGAUUUGGUUUGCAAGAUUCUUUAUGUGAGUUCGUGUGUUGAAGCAUAUUCUGUUGUGUCUGGGCAGAGUCAUUUUCUCUUUUUUUUUGCCAUAUAAUUUAACACACUCACCGGUAAAAUUUCCACUUAUUUCUUAUGUUUAUUUUCCUAAAAUUUUUGUUGCGCAACGAAAAUUUUAGGAAAAUAAAAAUAAGAAAUAAGUGGAAAUUUUACUCACGAGUUUGAUUAUAAAGCACAAAUAAAAAAAAAAUGACUCUCCCCAGACACAAUAGUGUGUGUGUAUAUAUAUAUAUAUAUAUAUAUAUAUAUAUAUAUAUGAAUGGACUGCAUGGAAAUUGUGGGCUUUUUUUCCCAUAUGAAACCAUUGUUAAUGCACAAAUAAAGUAUAUGUGUGUGUAUUCACAACAAAACAGUAAAAAUUGUAUUAAAAAUGCAUAAAAGCAAGACUAAGAAAAUAAAGAAGAAUUAAAAGGAAUUUUGUAUAUUAUUUAAAUACUAAAGAAACUUCUGAAUCACUGUGUAUAGAAUGAAUAAUAAAUAAUAUACUUUAUACACAAGUAUAGCUAGGCUACCUGUAUGUCUCAUAAAUUUUUCUGUACCUUUUUUUCACCUCUGUCAGUUUUAUUACUCAUGUAUAUAUAUUGGGGGGUAUAAUUAUAACGGUGUCAAAAAUUUGUUUGCAAGGUGUGUGUGUGUAUAUGUGUGCAUUGUUACUUCAUCUUGUCUGUACGGACAUACUGCCUUCCAUACAUUGUACUGCAAUUUUAAAUAGUUUUUCUCCUUUUGAUUUUAUUUUCUUUAACAACUCAGUAACAAAGUUUGACAACACACCCUUGCUCUGUCUGACAAACGUUACCUCCGUCAUCAAGUACUUGAAAUUAUGUUUUAGAAUCUCUUUACCAAAUAUAUUUUUUCACUAUUCUAAAUCUGUUAAAAGUUUCAUCAUACUAACAUUUCAUAAUAUAUUCAGACUUCGUAAUAUACUAACACUAGCAGUAUAGCCCAGCGUUGCUCGGGUUUGUUUUUUAGUUGCGCUUAAAACGGCAGACUUUGAUGUCGCGUUAACAAAGUUUUGACAUAGUUUCAAUCUAUGAAUAAAAGUAUAGUGUGGCAAUGCUCGAGUUGGCUCUGAAUGUGUUACAAUUGUGUAAUGCCGACUGCGAUUGUUGGUUAAUAUUCCUUCUAUUAACAUUAUGGAGAAAAAAUUACCCAUAGAUUUAAAGCAAAAUGAAGCUCAAGUUUCGAACUGCACUGAAAAUCUAUUAAGAAGUUAACACUGCAACAGUAUUCAUUAAGAAAAAGUACAGGAAUAUCUGUCGUUUGCUCAAAACCAAUGGCAUCACAAAAAAAAUCUUUUCAACCCUUUAGAAUUGGAAUUUUUGAAAAGUAAGAAUUUUGCAUUAUGUAGCUUGUUUUUCUCUUUAAGUGAACAUUUCUCUGGUUGAGAUACACUGAAAAAUGGUGACACAGCAGGCAAAAAAUCGUAAAAAGUAGGGAUUUUCAUAGAAAAUAAGGCGCCUUUUUGAUGUAAAUAAGUUUUGGUGUUAACAUGGUCCAAUUUGAAUUUUAUCUCCUACGGAAUGAAGAGCAAGCCUUCUUCUAUCAUACUCUCAAUUUUGGUCAACUUGCGCCGCAGUUUCUCGGAGGAGAUAGUGUUAGUUGAAGGCUACCAAACCUGCUACACACACACAGACAACUUCAGCUUUAUAAAUAUAGAUUUCAAAAUAUACUAACAUUUAUAAACAUUAACAAAUAUUUUAUAAUUUACUGAAAGCAGCGAGCUGGUAGAAUUGUUAGCAUGCCAGGCAAAAUACUUAGUGGCAUUUCAUCUGUCCUUACGUUCUGAGUUCAGAUUCCACUGAGGUCGACUUUGCCUAUCAUCCUUCCGAGGUUGAUAAAAUAUAAGUGAAUUAUCCCCUCCACUGAAAUUGCUGGCCUUAUGCCAAAAUUUGAAGUCAACAUUUCAUAAUUUACUAGCCUUUAUUAAUAUACUAUCAUUUCAUAUAUACCAGUCAGCACUAGAUUAACCAUUGAGCAGAAUAAGCACUGCUUAGGGCAUCAAGGGAAGGAAGGGGCCCUACGGAAAUGGUAGAUGGUUUACAGCACAAAAGAAAUCACUUUAAACUUGCUAAAAUAAUUUUCGGGAUGCCUUUAUCUAUAUUAAGUAUAGAUGCAGAUGUGUUACCUAAGAUUAAUUUUGAGGAUCUGAUCAAAGAUUUUGCAAUUCAAAAAAGUAGGAGGAAACUUUUCAAAUAUAAAUAAAGUGGAAGUAUACAAAAAUAAACAUUAUUUUCCCUCUUACUGUUUUGUUUCAUUUUGAAAAAUAAAAAUUUAUUUUAUGGUUUGUUAUUGUUUGUAUUUUCAAUUACAUAAUCUUUUAUGGGGGCACCAAAAUCUUUUAAGUGCUUAGGACCUCAAUGGGUCCUAAUCUGGCCUUGAUACCAGUGGUUCUCAACUGGUGUCUAUAUGGUCCCUGAGGAUCCAUAUAAGAUUUUUGGAGGUCCAUGUAACAAAAUAGUAAAAAAACUUUUUAACUCCGUGAUAACAUUGAACAACACACUCUGCUCUUUCUAAAAAAAAACCCACCACCUCCACCUUGAAGUGGCGUAUGGAGGUUGAUGUCAUUGGGUGUGCCACCACAAAAUGUUCAUAAGAUGACGUAAAAUGUUCGAUAACUUCAUCAUAUAAUUUUGUUACUAAUCAGUAUAUAAUCGCUGAAAAUUAAAUUAAAAGCACAUAUUUCUGCAACUGUAAAAGCAUUUAAGAUCAACACUAAUUAGAUUUUAAAUAAAGUGCUUAAGCACACACACACAGAAAAUCACAAAAUUCACUGAGAAAAAUAUCAACUUAAAACCUUUCACAUCGAACUAUUUUCAGUGACUAACGACCAAACUGCUGAUAUUGCCCAAACUUGUAGUGUUUGGUGCGCUAGCAGCCCCAGAAUUCGACUUGACUUAAUUUUUUUUUAAAUUCUUCUAAAAGUGUAUUUAUUAGUUUUGAAAACAAAUUAAGAUCAAAGUGAUAUGAUGAUAUUGUAAGAAAAAAAUUAUUGUCAAAAAAAUUAGUUGUAGUUUAGAAAUUGUAAAUUAAUUUAAACAUACAACUUCUCGCCACAAAAAUGAACGUGCAACCGUGCUGUCAAAGCUGUUGCACACCCUUUGCCAUUGAUUUUUUGCCAUUAUCCUAUGAUACACCUGGUACCAUGUUAUGAUACAAUGCACUGUAAGGUUUGCAGUGUUAUUUCAGGACAUCCACCGCCAAAUUUCAAGCAGUGGUAUAACAAAAGUUUUCCAUUAUGAUUUAUGAUUAAAUUAAUGAGCAAGGUUAAUAUUUAUAAUGAAUUUGCCAUUUUCGAUGGCACACCUAGCACACCUGGAAUAUAUGCCUCUGAUAUAUAUAUAUAUAUCAUACGAGCGUGAUCAUUGACAGAGCUGCUAACUGGCUUCCGUGCCAGUGGCACAUAAAAGGGCACCAUUUGAGCGUGAUCGUUACGAAAGUCGCCUUACUGGCACCUGUGCUGGGGGCAUGUGUUAAAGGAUUUGAGCGAGGUCGUUGCCAGUAACGCCUGACUGGCCCCCGUGAAAAGCACCCACUACACUCUUGGAGUGGUUGGCAUUAGGAAGGGCAUCCAGCUGUUGAAACUCUGCCAAAUCAAGAUUGGAGCCUGGUGCAGCCAUCUGGUUUGCCAGGCGUCAGUCAAAAUCGUCCAGCCCAUGCUAGCAUGGAAAGAGGACGUUAAAUGAUGAUGAUGAUGAUAUAUAUUUAUAUAUUGUCAGAAGUUCAUGUUAUGACCUACAGCCACAUUGUAUUAUUUGUUCCUUUCUUAUGGGCAGAAUUGGCACAUGAGGAGUAUGAAGCAAAUAACCCUUCUUUAUAAACUUAUUUUUUGGUAAUUUUCUGAUGAACAACGCUGCAGUUUCUGUUUAUCAAAUUCAGUCACAAGUCUGUGGCUGGCCUAGGGCUAUAGUAGAAAACACUUGCCCAAGGUACCAUGCAGAGGGACUGAACAUAGAACCAUGUGGUUGGGAAGUAAACUUCUCAACCACACAGUCAUUUUUGCCCCUAAUAUUUGUGUGUGUGUGUUUACAUUUGUUGUUAAAUUGAGUAUUGUGUCCCACUGUGUCUCAAUGUUAGCAGUUCAUCAAACAGAGAUCUAUAAAAUAAAUGGCCAGAUUGCAAAACAUACUGAGGUCAGUAUGACCAAUUAAAUUUUUGAAAGUGACCCCCAUCAUGGUAACAAUUGAAUGACUAAACUCAGUAAAAUAAUGUUUAAAAGUCUGAAUGGCUUCAAAUUUAAGGUAAUGGAAUACCAACCACAAGAUAAUGAGUUCAAAACAUCGUAUUGAACGUCCACUCUAUACGAUAACCCUAUAUGUACAUCUCAGUCGACUUGACUGCCAACAAUUGUAAUUUGAAGUUGAAUGGUUAGCAGUAAGAAAGAUGUCCAGAUUUCUUUAAAAGUUAUUACUAUUUUACCUUUUUUACUCUUUUACUUGUUUCGGUCAUUUCACUGUGGCCAUGCUGGAGCACUGUCUUUAGUCGAGCAAAUCAAUCCCAGGAUUUAUUCUUUGUAAGCCUAGUACUUAUUCUAUCAAUCUCUUUUGCUGAAUCGCUAAGUUACGGGUACGUAAACAUACCAGCAUCGGUUGUCAAGCGAUGUUGGGGGGGACAAACACAGACACACAUACAUAUAUAUGAUGGGCUUCUCAAACACAGACACACAAACAUAUACACACACACACAUACAUAUAUAUGAUGGGCACUCAAAAGUCUGUGGUCGGCCUGAGGCUAUAGUAGAAGACACUUGCCCAAGGUGCCACGCAAUGGGACUGAAUCCUGAACCAUGUGGUUGGUGUGCAAAAUAUUCUGUGAAAAAAUACUUUUUUCACCGCAACAAAACACACACACUCACACACACACAGAUAUGUCUGUGGUAACUUGAGCUACUACAAAUAGCAGCCAAAUCUCUUCUAAAACACACCCUGUCAUCAAAAGAAAGACAUAGAUUUGCAGUAGUUCAGGAAGAAAGAAAAACAUAUGCAAUGGGUCUGCUACAUCAGAGGCAACUCUGGGCUAAACAAAACACAGACAAGCAUACUUCACAUUAGAAGAUUAUUUACUAAAUAAUAGUAAUAAACUUGCAGUGCCAAGUUUUGCCAGUGAACAGGUUGCAGUUUCAAAGUGACGAAAAUAUUUUGGCACAAAUGAAAAUUAAAUGUUGAAGUGAAACUAAUGGUUUUUGUGUGUUCUUGAAUGGCUUACAAAUAUCUUCCACACUGUAAUUGUCUUUGUUUCAGCAUGCGAUCUCAGCUGAAGUCACUUGCUUAGUACAUCUCCAUAAUAGUAAAAGUUGACAGUAUAUCUUUGAAGCUUCAUUCCCUGGUAAAACAACAUGUAUUUCAAACCUUUUCUUAUUAUGCUCUAUCUAAGACAAAGAUUGUUUAAGUAGAGUUGCCUCUCUUAGCUAAAGACCUCAAAAUUGUGCAAACUGACCUUGUUUUCAAGGUUAUUUUUGUAGUAAAAAAAGUGUUGUUGUGCAAAGUCAUACUUUAAUUGGUAGCCAAAAGAUUACUGAAUCUUUUGGUAUCUCAUAUGUCAAAAUUGGCACCUCUGUUUUCAAAUCCAUAAGGAACACACAC